GGACUACAGGGGUUUCUAAUCCCGUUCGCUCCCCAUGCUGUCGUGUCUGAGCGUCAGUGUCGAGCCAGGGCGCCGCCUUCGCCUCUGGGGUUCCUCCGGAUCUCUACGCAUUUCACCACUACACCCGGAAUUCCACGCCCCUCUCUCGCACUCUAGCUGACCAGUCUGGCAUAACCCCUCCAGGUUGAGCCUGGAUAUUUCAUACACCACUUGGUCAGCCGCCUGCACACGCUUUACGCCCAGUAAAUCCGGAUAACGCUCGCCACCUACGUUUUACCGCGGCUGCUGGCAC
rnacentral:rRNA from 1 species